GACGAACGCUGGCGGCGUGCCUAAUACAUGCAAGUUGAGCGCUGAAGGUUGGUACUUGUACCAACUGGAUGAGCAGCGAACGGGUGAGUAACGCGUGGGGAAUCUGCCUUUGAGCGGGGGACAACAUUUGGAAACGAAUGCUAAUACCGCAUAAAAACUUUAAACACAAGUUUUAAGUUUGAAAGAUGCAAUUGCAUCACUCAAAGAUGAUCCCGCGUUGUAUUAGCUAGUUGGUGAGGUAAAGGCUCACCAAGGCGAGGAUACAUAGCCGACCUGAGAGGGUGAUAGGCCACAUUGGGACUGAGACACGGCCCAAACUCCUACGGGAGGCAGCAGUAGGGAAUCUUCGGCAAUGGACGAAAGUCUGACCGAGCAACGCCGCGUGAGUGAAGAAGGUUUUCGGAUCGUAAAACUCUGUUGGUAGAGAAGAACGUUGGUGAGAGUGGAAAGCUCAUCAAGUGACGGUAACUACCCAGAAAGGGACGGCUAACUACGUG
rnacentral:rRNA from 1 species